rnacentral:rRNA from 1 species
ACAUGCAAGUCGAGCGGACCGACGGGAGCUUGCUCCCUUGGGUCAGCGGCGGACGGGUGAGUAACACGUGGGUAACCUGCCUGUAAGACUGGGAUAACUCCGGGAAACCGGGGCUAAUACCGGAUGCUUGAUUGAACCGCAUGGUUCAAUCAUAAAAGGUGGCUUUUAGCUACCACUUGCAGAUGGACCCGCGGCGCAUUAGCUAGUUGGUGAGGUAACGGCUCACCAAGGCGACGAUGCGUAGCCGACCUGAGAGGGUGAUCGGCCACACUGGGACUGAGACACGGCCCAGACUCCUACGGGAGGCAGCAGUAGGGAAUCUUCCGCAAUGGACGAAAGUCUGACGGAGCAACGCCGCGUGAGUGAUGAAGGUUUUCGGAUCGUAAAACUCUGUUGUUAGGGAAGAACAAGUACCGUUCGAAUAGGGCGGUACCUUGACGGUACCUAACCAGAAAGCCACGGCUAACUACGUGCCAGCAGCCGCGGUAAUACGUAGGUGGCAAGCGUUGUCCGGAAUUAUUGGGCGUAAAGCGCGCGCAGGCGGUUUCUUAAGUCUGAUGUGAAAGCCCCCGGCUCAACCGGGGAGGGUCAUUGGAAACUGGGGAACUUGAGUGCAGAAGAGGAGAGUGGAAUUCCACGUGUAGCGGUGAAAUGCGUAGAGAUGUGGAGGAACACCAGUGGCGAAGGCGACUCUCUGGUCUGUAACUGACGCUGAGGCGCGAAAGCGUGGGGAGCGAACAGGAUUAGAUACCCUGGUAGUCCACGCCGUAAACGAUGAGUGCUAAGUGUUAGAGGGUUUCCGCCCUUUAGUGCUGCAGCAAACGCAUUAAGCACUCCGCCUGGGGAGUAC